UAUAACAGAUAAACAGAGGGCAAUGACAGUACUUGAUGGAGGAAAUUCUCAGCUACAAAACACUGUUUUUCAACAUAACUGUCCUUAUUCACUAUGCAUAUUCUCCAUCAGUGAAACAGCAAGCUGCAGUCUUCUUCAGGACUGCUCUCAAGUCAUUGUCUGUCCAGCUUUUACUUGUGCUUGGGAUUGCCUCAACUGGGAUUGGUGACCAGCUUGUCAUGCAGAACAGUGUCAAACACUGCACAAGUCCAGGCAAGUGUUUAAGGAAGAGUAAAUUAACUGGAAGGUCACAAUGGAAGGCAAUCCUGUGGCAAUACAGCUGUCAUCACUAACAAAAAAGCUCAAGAUCCUGGCAGAAGUAACAACGCAACGUGCAUUAGAGGAUCAGAGACAAAUUAGGAUCAGAAAUCAAGCAAAUUGAUGAAAUUUCCUCUAGCAAACAGUUCUUGGAAAAUAAAUAAUUAAUGAUGUAACCAAGAUAUG